rnacentral:rRNA from 1 species
CCCCUCCUCUUGCGGAGUGGAGGAAAUCUAAUCCAACAUCGAGGUCGCAAACAUGUUUGUCAAUUUGAGCUUUCAAAACACAUUACGCUGUUAUCCCUAAAGUAACUUAUUUAACUUUCAAAAAUUUUGGGUAUUAAAAUAAUGUCAUUUAUAUAUUUUAAAAGUGUUUUUCUUCUUACCGCCCCAGUAAAACAUAUUUUUAAUUUAUUAAAUUAUUUUAUGUAAAGCUUUAUAGGGUCUUCUUGUCUAAAAGAAACAUUUUAGCCUUUUUACUAAAAAGUAAAUUUCAAAAGAAAAAGUCAAGAAAGAAACUUUCUAGUUUAUCCUUUCAUUCCAGUCUUAAAUUACAAGACUA